CAUCAAGGCGUCAAUCUAGUCUGCGAAUACUAGAUUAAACUGAUGACAACCGUUCUAGAUAACUUCCUACGAGCUGAGAAGAUCGGCGAAGGCACAUACGGCAUUGUGUACAAGGCGCGCAGCAACCUAACUGGACAGGAUGUGGCGCUCAAGAAAAUCCGGCUGGAGGGAGAGGCGGAAGGUGUGCCUUCCACGGCCAUCCGUGAGAUAUCCCUGCUAAAGAACCUGAGGCAUCAGAACGUGGUGCAGCUGUUCGACGUGGUCAUUUCUGGCAACAAUCUGUAUAUGAUAUUCGAGUACCUCAACAUGGAUCUGAAGAAGCUAAUGGACAAGAAGAAGGAUGUCUUCACACCGCAGUUGAUUAAAAGCUAUAUGUACCAGAUACUCGACGCACUCUGCUUUUGUCACACCAAUCGGAUACUGCAUCGCGAUCUCAAGCCCCAGAAUCUACUCGUAGACACGGCGGGCAAAAUAAAGUUGGCAGAUUUCGGACUGGCACGCGCCUUCAAUGUACCCAUGCGUCCUUACACCCACGAGGUGGUCACGCUGUGGUACCGCGCACCGGAGAUAUUGCUGGGCACCAAGUUCUACUCGACUGGAGUGGACAUCUGGAGCCUGGGCUGCAUCUUCGCCGAGAUGAUUAUGCGACGCUCAUUGUUUCCCGGAGACAGCGAGAUCGAUCAGCUGUAUCGAAUCUUUCGCACUUUGAGCACGCCCGACGAAACCACUUGGCCGGGUGUGACACAGCUGCCGGACUUCAAAGCCAACUUCCCCAAAUGGGAGGCCAGCAAUGUGCCUGCACCCAUCCGCGAGCACGAAGCCAACGAUCUUAUAAUGUCGAUGCUGGCAUAUAACCCAAACAUACGCAUCUCCGCCAAGGAUGCGCUUCAGCAUGCCUACUUGCAGAAUGUGGAGCACGUGGAGCAUGUUGCGCUGCCGCUGGACCCCAAUGCGGGCAGUGCUUCUCGCCUCACGAAGCUCGUCUGAGUGUCGCCCAACCCCGGAUCAACCCUAGCUAAUUUCUUGUGAUCUGUUAGUAUACGGUGGCAACUUCAUAUCAUCCAUUCCUAACGCACACACAACAAAUUCUUUAAAUACACGUUCAUGCCCAUCAAGUA